rnacentral:rRNA from 1 species
CCUACGGGAGGCAGCAGUGAGGAAUAUUGGUCAAUGGGCGCGAGCCUGAACCAGCCAAGUCGCGUGAGGGAGGACGGCCCUACGGGUUGUCAACCUCUUUUGCCGGGGAGCAACGGGCGUCACGUGUGGCACCACUGAGAGUACCCGGAGACAAAGCAUCGGCUCACUCCGUGCCAGCAGCCGCGGUAAUACGGUGGAUGCGAGCGUAAUCAUGAUUUCUUGGGGUUAAGGGGUUCGUAGUCGGAUCGGUAAGUCAGUGGUCAAGUUGCGGGGCUCAACCCCUUCCCGCCAUUGAAACUGGCGUUCUUGAGUGGAAGAGAAGUAUGCGGAAUGCGUGGUGUAGCGGUGAAAUGCAUAGAUAUCACGCAGAACCCCGAUUGCGAAGGCAGCAUGCCGGCUUCCGACUGACGCUGAAGCACGAAAGCGUGGGGAUCGAACAGGAUUAGAUACCCUUGUAGUC